rnacentral:lncRNA from 1 species
UAUUUUAUUCAUUUAUUUAUACAUGGUGCUGAGAAUCGAACCCAGUGCCUCACACAUGCCAGGCAAGCCCUCUACCACUGAGCCACCACCCUAGCUCCUGCCUUUUGUUUUGAUGGAUGUGGGAUUCCCUUGGAAAUCUUUGGAUGGGGGAAUACAUGCUAUUAUUUACAUAAAAAAAUCAAGUUACCUUCUGUUUAGAGAAAAUGGACUAUACAAAGUCAAAAGUGCAAGCAGGGUAACCAUUGAGAGGUGACAGCAAUAAUCAAGGUGAGAGAUGAUGGUGUGAGAGACGAUGGCACCUCGGUCUAGGAGGAGGCAGUUGGGAUGGGGAGGAAUCAUUGAUUUUUGUUUAUUUCCCCAAACAUUUUAUUAUUAAGCAUUUCCAAUGUACAGAAAAGUCGAAAGAGUUGACCAAUGGAGUGGUCACCCACACACCCACCAGUAGCCUCCGGUUACUGUAUGAUUCCCCAGUUGUCCAUUCUUGUAUUGAUUUCUAGUCCCUUCUAUUCUAUUGAAGCGGUUCAUAGUAAGUUGCUUUUUUGGCAGGGAGGGGUUACACUGGGGAUUGACUCCAGGGCCUCAUCCAGGUUAAGGGUUCACUGAUCCCAGUGAGCCACACCCCCCGCCCUGUGAGUUGCCAACAAAGGUUCCCUUCAUUCCUAAACACAUCGGCGGUUUGCCUACAUUUCCAAGGCAAUGUUGACAGAUCCACAGACAAAUUGGAUGUGGAGUGUCAGGGAGAGGGAGGCGUCAAGACAGCUUCUUGGAUUUGGGCCUGAGCCACUCACUGAAGAGGAAUGGGGUUUGGGAAGAGCAGCCAGUGAAUUGUUUGGGGGCAAGUUGAGACUAAGAAGCCAAUUAGGUAGCCAGGAGGAGUAGCAACCAGGUUAAAAACAAACAAACAAACCAACAAACAAACCAACCUGGAGUUGAGCAUAGACACUGGAGCUGGAAUAUUAAUGAGGGGCUAUCAACUUGCACAUGGGAUCUACAGACCAAGAUAUGAGAUGCCCAGGGAAUAAGUGUGGAUACAGAAAAGGC